rnacentral:rRNA from 1 species
GUGGGGAAUAUUGGACAAUGGGCGAAAGCCUGAUCCAGCCAUGCCGCGUGUGUGAAGAAGGUCUUCGGAUUGUAAAGCACUUUAAGUUGGGAGGAAGGGCAGUAAGUUAAUACCUUGCUGUUUUGACGUUACCGACAGAAUAAGCACCGGCUAACUUCGUGCCAGCAGCCGCGGUAAUACGAAGGGUGCAAGCGUUAAUCGGAAUUACUGGGCGUAAAGCGCGCGUAGGUGGGUUUGUAAGUUGGAGGUGAGAUCCCCGGGCUCAACCUGGGAACUGCCUCCAAAACUGCAUGACUAGAGUACGGUAGAGGGUAGUGGAAUUGCCUGUGUAGCGGUGAAAUGCGUAGAUAUAGGAAGGAACACCAGUGGCGAAGGCGACUACCUGGACUGAUACUGACACUGAGGUGCGAAAGCGUGGGGAGCAAACAGGAUUAGAUACCCCGGUAGUCC